GGAUACCGCCUGGAAACAGGCGCUAAUACCGCAUAAGCGCAUACAGCCGCAUGGGUGUAUGCGGAAAGCUCCGGCGGCACGGGAUGGGCCCGCGCCCGAUUAGCCAGUUGGCGGGGUAACGGCCCACCAAAGCGACGAUCGGUAGCCGGCCUGAGAGGGCGGACGGCCACAUUGGGACUGAGACACGGCCCAAACUCCUACGGGAGGCAGCAGUGGGGAAUAUUGCACAAUGGGGGAAACCCUGAUGCAGCAACGCCGCGUGGGUGAAGGAGCGUUUCGGCGCGUAAAGCCCUGUCAGCGGGGAAGAAGAAAGACGGUACCCGACCAAGAAGCCCCGGCUAACUACGUGCCAGCAGCCGCGGUAAUACGUAGGGGGCGAGCGUUAUCCGGAAUUACUGGGUGUAAAGGGAGCGUAGACGGCGAGGUAAGCCUGAAGUGGAAGCCCGCGGCCCAACCGCGGAACUGCUUUGGGAACUGUUUUGCUGGAGUAUGGGAGGGGUAAGCGGAAUUCCUGGUGUAGCGGUGAAAUGCGUAGAUAUCAGGAGGAACACCGGUGGCGAAGGCGGCUUACUGGACCAUAACUGACGUUGAGGCUCGAAAGCGUGGGGAGCGAACAGGAUUAGAUACCCUGGUAGUCCACGCCG
rnacentral:rRNA from 1 species